CGGACUGUUCGGGUAAUUGGUCGACCCGGUGGUGUCCAAAGACGCCAAGUUAAGAGUCUCCGAAACCUCCCGAAACCUGGACGAAAACUUGCUGUAGGUGAUGGAGCCGUCUCGGUCCUCGUCGAAUUUGUCGAACAGAGUGCUAAAGAGGCGCUGAUUGGUCCAUGUCUCCACGUAGGCGGGUAUCGUCCUGAACAGGUGGACCCAAUGUCCCACUUCCUGCCUGCUGCCAUAGCAACCGUCGUUUAUUUGGAUGAAUCCAGAAGAGAUGUCAUCAUUAUGAGCUCUGGAACUUAAAUACAACACAAGUACAACAGAUACGCAAGUGGCUCUAUUUGCCUUCAAGGUGUGUGCAUGUGACAGUUUUAUCAGACACUCCUCUUAGUUCCCCUUUGCAGACUCCACCCUAAAAGAUUAAAUAGUGAAAUAGGUUGCCUGCUAAUAAAACCUAAAAAAAACAAAAAACUCAACAUCUUACCCAAGCAUUGCAUGUUAGAAUUUUCCACGUAUUUAAAAUCACGAGCCAUUCAAAUAGAAAAUUAUCCAUUUGAUCUUUAUUUGAAAAAUUAAAAUAAAGUGCUUUUUAUAUACAAUACAAAAAAAAGAGGAAAAAACAGUAGUGAUGUAUGAUACAAAAAAAUACAAUUCACAAUAUUUUGGCAGCUGAAUUUACAAAACAUUUUUUUUUUUUUUUACAUAAAAA